CCUCCCCCCUCUCUCUCUCUCCACCCUCAGCCGCCACACUACCAUCCAUUCUCCUCUACUCUCCUCUCCUCUCCUCUCCUCUCCUCUCCGGCUUACUCCCCCCCUCACCGCUUACCGCGCCGCCUCCGUCUCUGCCGCUGCCAGGCUCGGGAGCGGCGGAUCUGCCGCCGACAGCGCCGGCAUCCGUCUCCGCCUCUUCACGGCGGCGUCUGAGCCGGGGCAGGUAUCCCUCCCAUUCCCUCACCUCCCCUCUCACCUCUCCUCUCUCGGCGCGGAUUCCGGCCGGAGCAGCUGCCGGAGGGCGGUGGCGGCGGCGGCUCCAGGCGGUUCCUGCGCGGAAGGUGGAGGCGGCGGCGGUGGCGGCUCCCCUCCCUCCUCCCAGAUCCGGUGGAGGCGGCGGCGGCUCCCCUCCCGCCCGUGUACCUCCCGCGCCAGCCCGCCGCGCCCCUGCUCCUCGCGCUCGACAUCGGCUCGCGGGUUUUCCUCGCUCUCUCACGCGCGAAGUAGUUCGGUCGUGGUGGAGGGAUGGACUCGUGGGUUUUUUUUCUUUUUGUUCGCAGGGACUCUGAUAAAGCUGGUGUACACGGCGAGCUGCGGUGGCGGAGGCGCGGAGCUGCGGUUUGCCAAGUUCGAGAGGCGGAGGCUGCAGGAGUGUUUUGACUUCGUCAGGGCGCAGGGUCUCGUCCCCCCUCACCGCUUCCCCAGUGUAGCAUCACCACCAUGGCGACGCAGCGGAGGCACGCGGCUGUGGCAUGGACACCUACUACCGCCGCCACCUCUCCGGGCAGCAGCCGGGAGUACAUGAAGGCCAAAUGCAGCAUGUAAUGCGCUGAUUUAAACACAUUAUAAAAGCUGUUCUGUAGGAGGAAAAUCAUUCUUGAAGAUUGAGUAUCAUGAAUUCCUACAUCUAGACAGUCUCGAUGUUAUAUAAAGAACUGUAUAAUUUGAUGAAUCGGAAGCAACAAGGAAGCAUAUGCCCUUUUGUCGUUUGAUUGGCCGCAACACUCAGGUCAAUGUGUGAACGGCUAUUUGGCAUUUGGCUGGAUUUGGUGGUCAGUGACUUGUACUAGUGAUGUAUUAUAUCUGGUCAGUGAACCUGUGAUGUAAUUGAACAUGCUUUGGAUAGUGAUUUGUGGAUGUAAUUAGCUGACUUGUCAUGUAACUGAUUUACGGAUAACCUGUGAUCUUUUUUUUUUCUGAAUUUAUGAUAGCCUGUUUUGUGAUUAUGUAUUAAAUGUGAGCUGAAUUUUGUUAAUUGGGCUAUAAGAUGUCAGAUUUAGAUUUUAA